CUCGUCCAAACCGCUCCCUGGUUGCUAAGGUAGCUUGCACCCUAGUACAGUAAGUUCAGUGUAUAAAAUACACCAUUUCUAGGCAGAUUCUCCCCAAUAAUCUAUUUAGUAAGUCUUUCUAAUUGGCUCUGAGCCGUUUGUAGGCAGAUGCUGCUCGUAUGAUGGGAGAGAGCGUGAGGCUGGGGCGCCGUGGGGCCGUUUCCGUUUCCGUGCUCGCUCAGGGGAGACAUCACAAUCGCUGCACGUGCCGCCGCUAUUGAUCCCACAGAUUACUCCAUUUCGCUGCUAUCGAUCAGAGAAAGAGCAAACUCUUCUCAUGGAGUAAUUGAUUGGCCACUCUCAGCCCCAAGGUUCAUUAAGGUCUCCUGCAAAGGUUGGUUACCCUCUGUUCUCCUAUAAAUACAGGAGGGUGGGGAAGCGCCGACGAACUGACACCUAAAUCUGAGCCGAAUGGAUUUAUCAGUCAGUCUGUUGGGCUGGAUUGCUAUUGAUCCUUCACCUGUCACUUCUCAUUGGUGCUAAUGGGAGCUGAAAAGCCUUCAGAAACCAGAGAUGGGGCCCUGGCUGCUCUGCAAUGCAAUCGGCCUCCUCGGCCUCAUUUUUAUUCUGGGCAUGGGUUUGCCCGGGCCACGGUUCUGUACACUGGAAAUUAACCCUUUCCUGCCUUUCUUAGCCAAUGGCCCGUUUUUAGGUUCACCCCAGCCUGGAACUUAUAUUCCAUUCUGUGCCACAGCCACACUUGUAUAUGCACCCCCAGACUUUCUGCUAAACUGUUUCACUCAGCUCCUAGGUUCAUGGCACCCAAGGUGUAUUCUAUGGCAAACCUGAUGGACUGCGAGACCUGAUUGGGUGAUUCGCGCCUCAUUAGCAACAGACCUUAGGCGCAGUCUAACAGACUUUACAUAGUUGCCCAAAGCACAAGGCUAGAAGGCAAUCUCUUCAAAGCUGCUUCUUCCAUUUAUAUCCUUUUUACUUCUAAGGCUGGGUUACCCUUCAAGUCACUCCUGGCACUUACCUGCUGGCAAACCAUAGGACCUUAGGAUGGGGAAACCUGUGCAGUAGCACCUUUUAACUGGAUCCAAGAGAUACACCUCCCUGUGUUCCACUGCUAUUUACUGACUGGCUAACAGUCCUUACAGUAGGGAAGCACCAAAUCUGCUUUUUGGAGGUUUGGUUUAGUGUAUCCCUACUUUAAGGGCCCUGACGCAAGAUUAGUCGCCCGCAAUAAACCUUCCUCUACCGUGGUUGACUUAUUUUAUUCCAAAUGCCUUCCCGCUGGCAAUAAUGUAAAUCACUGGUGGCAAAACAUAUGUGCCACUUUGGCUUUCUGAAGCCGCCCAAUGUUGUCUCACCAGGGAACUUUAGGCGACUUUCGAAAGCCAAAGCCACAUAUGUUUUCCCACCGGCAAUGUAAAAUUAAAGGCAUUGGAGGAGAUUUGUCAUAAGCGACUAAUCUCCUCAUGUGUCCGGGCCCUAAAGUCCCCCCCCAAUUGCUCCCAUAAUGCCUAGGGAGUGCUAAAUUUCCAAAAGUACCUACCAGAAUAUCCACCCUCCUCCCAUGUUGUGCCCCUUUAGUGCUUGUGAUGAGCCCCUAGUCUUUGCGGUACUCAUAAUAACCGCUUACUCUGGCAUUUAACUAAGCUUGGGCCACCUCCUGGGCUUCUGCUCUGAGUUGGAGCGUGGGUUCCUACUGGCCAAGCCGUGUAGAUGCACAUUGCUUUUUGCUUCUCAGGACUUUCUCCUUUUCACAAUGGCUACCAGGGCAAUUGAUAGAACCUCUGGCUCCUCUUCCUAUUGUGGGGGCCAAGUUUACUGUUUGCUUAGUUUAUAUCCAUUUGCCACGAGCCUUUAAUUACAGUGGAACUGCUGCCCCUCUGCCCCUGCCCAAUCUUUCCUACUCACUGUCCAGGAAACAAACAGCAGAAUUUCCAGUUUAUAAAAUCAGCUCAAAGUUACGAGGGGUUGUUUUGCUGCCCCUGGUAUCCCGCUCCACUCCUUUUCUCCUUGGCUCGUGGCAGUGUUGGCACUAACUUAACAUGGAGCCCUAAAGCAGGAGUUCCUUGGAGAAAGUUGGGAAGCAGGAAACCCACAAAGGACUGCUAGUUAGUUAUAGGUUAGGUCUUAUGUUCAUAGAGUUCAGGGGUAAAACAGUUGAAAGUUCCUCACCAUGAUGGGUAGAGGCUUAGUAUCCUGCUGUGAUCCAACAGUGUAGGUGCUCAAGUGUGUAAGAUUAUUGAAGAAGAUGAAGGUUGAAGGCGGCCAUACAUGGGGCUAUUGGGUACACGCUUCAACCCACACACAGAGGGGCUUAUUUAUAUGCAUUUAGGCAGUAUCAGAUGUUCAGCUUUUUUUCAGCCAGUUGCAGGUUAAUUGGUUAAUUAUUAUUGCCCAGGAUCAAAUUUGCCCAGUGUUAGUAAAUGUGCCCCAAGUAUGGCCACCUCUCUAUUGUUCUGAUCGUCAGUGCUCUUGGAAUGAAGGAUGAGAACAGAAGGAAGUACAGGGGAACUGCUCUUCACUUUCCCAUCAAAUCUGCACUGAUAUUCUCGGGAUGUGGCUAUUGGUCAGGAUCAGUGGGCCAACAUACAUGUUUUGUACAUGGCCACUUUCAGAGCUCAACUUACACAUGACCAUUUAUAUUAAGUGUGUCAGAGUAAGUAAUGCCAAUCUGCAACUAACCACCGACUGCUUAAACAUUCUGUAACCGCAAAACUAUUUCUCAAAAGCCCAUAACUAAGUGCCUUUGGGCACAAAACUUGUAGGGCCAUUAGGUGUCCAUUUUUUUUAUUCAACUUUAAUAAAGAACAUUUUACCUUUA